rnacentral:ncRNA from 1 species
UAGUAAUCGCAGGUCAGCAUACUGCGGUGAAUACGUUCCCGGGCCUUGUACACACCGCCCGUCACACCAAUCGAGUUGGAUGCACCAGAAGUCAUCUGCGGAUGCCAAAGGUGUGUCCGGUAAGAGGGGUGAAGUCGUAACAAGGUAGCCGUACCGGAAGGUGCGGCUGGAUCACCUCCUUU